UACGGAGGGUGCAAGCGUUGUUCGGAAUCACUGGGCGUAAAGCGUGUCUAGGCGGGUUUUUAAGUCUGUUGUGAAAGCCCUCGGCUCAACCGAGGAUGUGCAAUGGAGACUGGAGAUCUUGAGUAAUGGAGAGAUGGGCGGAAUUCCGGGUGUAGCAGUGAAAUGCGUAGAUAUCCGGAGGAACACCAGAGGCGAAGGCGGCUCAUUGGCCAUUAACUGACGCUGAAGCACGAAAGCGUGGGUAGCAAACAGGG
rnacentral:rRNA from 1 species